GCGUCUGUAGUCUAGUGGCAGGAUGCAAGCUUCCCAAGCUUGAGGCCCGGGUUCAAAUCCCGGCAGACGCA
rnacentral:tRNA from 1 species